UACACUUCUUCCAAGAGGUCCUUGUUGAUUCAGCCCAGGUUGCUGGCAAGGAUGACCGGAUGCAUUCCUGUUACCUGCAGUGGCUGUCUUGGUGGUGGGCUAUGCAGACUGUGUCAGCAAGAGAGCAGCAAGGGAUGGCAACAGAAAAAAGUGGUCUUAGUCUGCCACGGAAUGGGAUCCAUUUGCUGCCAGGAGGAUACCUGAUACAUAGUCUGAUUACCAGGAGAUACAAGCGCCUGAUUCUUCACAGCUUGGAAGUGGAUACAGCUAUUUGCAUAGAUUAUUCCUGGUCCAGCACAGGUCCCUGCCUGAAUGCAGAAUGAGAGUCUUUCCURCCAUGGAAAGUUCCUCUGUGUUUGCCCAGGAAAGAUGGUUGACCACCCAGUUCAUCUUCUUUCUCCACCAGCUGAGGGGCAUCUGAAAGAAGAGACUGAGAAGUGAGUUAGGAGUGUGGAUUUGAAGAAAGGAAACAAAAUGAAGAGAUGCAGCCCCAAAAGUCACUCUCUCCCAAGAUCUUACAUUCCUAGCAGCCAGAAAACCUCUCUUCUUCCGUUAAAGGCUUCUUCUUAGGAAAUGGCUGCUUCCCAAAUACUUAAUCUUCAAAAAGAGGGAGCAGUUAUGCUGUUACUCCAUGGCUUAGAUUAAAUUUUACUUAUGCCCUUUGCUCUUCUUAGAGACUCCCAGAAUCAAGUUUCCUUGAUUUACGAAAAGCAAUUAGGAUAUAUCAACACAAAAUGCCUUCCAUCUAUGGAAACUUUCAUCUAUGCAUCAGACCUUUUGUAGCUUCUGACACUGCUGAAAACUCUCUGGGGUAAGAAGAGCAGAGAGGAAAACAUAACUGGCUUUGUGAUUCAGUCUUCAAGGAAAAUGCUGAGAGGUGAAACAAUAAUUAGGUCUCUGCUAUAUUUUACAAGAGAACAAGUUUCUCUCCUAUACCCAUGAAUGUCAGCUGAAAAGACCUUUCAAAGAUGGCAAUAUGUCAUGGUUCAGAGCAAAACAGAAGAAAAAUGUAUUCUUUUGGAUUGAGAAUGUCAUAAAAUGUUGGUUGGAAUCUUUGGAUUUGAAGACAUUUGUUAGUUUUGCCACUUUGCUCCAAAUGAUGAAGGUGGGGAAGUGUUGCAUUAUGUAAGGCUUUGCGGUUUGGAACAGAAAAAGACAACAGAGUUCAGGAGUUUGCAGUGGGUUGUGGUUUGAUUGAUCACUAUUUCUCUGUAGCACACAUUAAUGACUGUAUUAUUCCCAUAAAUUCUUCCUUUGACCUUUCUGAAGUAUGGAUAACACAAUGACAUGUGCAUUUCUCACAGCUUUUGGACCAAGAAUGGAUUAUAUUUUACCCCUUGAGAGCCUGGGCUAGCUUUGCUCCAAAUGUUUUUCUUUUAUGUGCUAGCCUAAAUCCUUUACUCUCCUGCCCUACAGAAUCCAUGUUUAAUAUUUGUCCUACAGGUGUAAUAUCAUAAACAUUUAUACUGCAUGUAAAUGUUCAGGUAUUUAUUUUUUGAUUGCAUUAUCUCAUGAGCUCAUAAAUCUUUUUUAGUUAAUUCUAAGCUUUAUGAAGUUUUAUUCAUGGGCAGAGGGAAAAAAGGUCCAUCUUAGAUUCUGUGUACAAAAAUCAAUUUAUUUGAAACUGCUAUGAGGUUUGUUCUUAGGUUUUGUGCUAAAAGGCAACUUUAAAUCAGUUUUAGUCAUUUCAUUCUGAAGAAAAUAUGCCUGUGAGCUCAUGGCUUCCACAAAUUGUGAUAUGCCUGAUGGAAAUGAGGGUAUACUAAAAAAUGAUGGCACUAUUGCUGUUGUAAACCACUGUUGCAAACACCAGUUCUCAUCCAAAUGGAACGUUUUAUUGAACUGUUUUUCACACUUGCUGGAUGAGAUUUCAGAGUGAUCUGUGGAUGAAGCUACAGAUUUCAGAUUGAAAAUAAAAGGAAUUGUGUGGCUGCUUCCCCA
ensembl:lncRNA